UGAAGGCUCUCUCAUAUUUAAACAAACAAUACCUUCAAAAUGUUGUCAUUGUCUAAAAACAUCACUCAGAUUUGAUGGAAUAUUAAUAUAUAACAAUCAUAAACAUUUUUCAUUUGUAUCUUAUACCCCUACCUUAUGUAAUUGCUGCUUCUUCAUUGAAAUCUAAUUCAUUAUAUUAUGUAUUGGCUUUAUUCACACUGAAUUUCACAUAGAACUUAAAUUACAUUUUAUAAUUUUUUUUCCACGUACUUUUCCUUAGAAUUUACAAAAAGAUGUAAUCCCAGAGCUGACUCAGUAUUGCAAUUCUAGGACAUUAAAUUUUCUUUGAUUUUGACCGUUGAUGAUUCUAAGAACUUAAUCUAUUUCAUAUUCUUUUACAGUAUAACCUUAUAUAGUUUGUUGUUAUCAUAUCUUCCCUUCUUCCUGUCAGCCAGCUUGGGCAGCUUGUGUUUUCAGCCUUUCAUUAUAACUCAUAUUUUGUUUUAGCUCUAGGUUACACUUUGUACCUCUUCUUUGGACUUUUCCAUCUGAUCCACUUUUUUGAGUUGUGAAGACAAUUUAUGUUGUAAACAGUUUUUUCAGCAUCUUUCCAUGCAUAUGUUGCAUUUGAAAACUCUUUUAUAGCCUGUAAGAAAUAAUAAGGGAUGGAUGCCAGACAAAAACAAUGCCUCAGCUCUUGCAUUACAGAUUUUUUUUUACAGUGCAGUAUUUCAGUUUUAUGAAUGGUAUUCAAUUUUAUGUGUAUUGACUAUGUACCAUUGUAUUUAUAUUUUUUUAUAUAUUUUUUUUAUCUCUGAGCAGUAUUUAUUGUUGAGAUCUGAUACCAGUGAUUGCUUCUUCAAUCCUUGGCAAUGGGAUCAUCAUACCUGUAUCUUCUGCCUCUCACGGUCUUCGUACUCUUCCCUGCUACCUUCAUUAUCACGUACACCAUAUCAGUUUUGCUGCACCAUACUGAGCCAGACUUUCCAUACAUCAGUGAUACAGGAACAUACUCCCCUGAGAGCUGUAUCUUUGGCCAAGCCCUGAACAUAGGGGCUUUUGCUAGUAAGUUAUUUUUUGCUUUAAAAUCUUGGAACAGUGUAUUAAAAAAAUAAACUUUUUUUGAGAAGCUGG